GAAUUUUAUAUAAUUUUAUUUGAUUAGAUUAUAUUUAGGUAAAUAUAAUAAAAUUAUAUUUUAUUGGGAGGAUAGUUAAAUAUUUUUAACUUUAAUUAAAAGUUAGAAGAUAAAUUAAUAAAUUAUUAGGAAUGGUUUAUAAAUUAAAUAAGAAUUAAUUACCUUAGGGAUAACAGCGUAAUAUUUUUGGUGAGUUCAUAUCAAUAAAAAUGUUUGC
rnacentral:rRNA from 2 species